AACGAACACUGGCGGCAUGCCUAACACAUGCAAGUCGAACGAGACCUUCGGGUCUAGUGGCGCACGGGUGCGUAACGCGUGGGAAUCUGCCCUUGGGUUCGGAAUAACAGUUAGAAAUGACUGCUAAUACCGGAUAAUGUCUUCGGACCAAAGAUUUAUCGCCCAGGGAUGAGCCCGCGUAGGAUUAGCUAGUUGGUGAGGUAAAGGCUCACCAAGGCGACGAUCCUUAGCUGGUCUGAGAGGAUGAUCAGCCACACUGGGACUGAGACACGGCCCAGACUCCUACGGGAGGCAGCAGUGGGGAAUAUUGGACAAUGGGCGAAAGCCUGAUCCAGCAAUGCCGCGUGAGUGAUGAAGGCCUUAGGGUUGUAAAGCUCUUUUACCCGGGAUGAUAAUGACAGUACCGGGAGAAUAAGCCCCGGCUAACUCCGUGCCAGCAGCCGCGGUAAU
rnacentral:rRNA from 1 species